AGCGGCGGACGGGUGAGUAACACGUGGGUAACCAACCUGGUUGAGGGGGAUAGGCUUCCGAAAGGGAGAUUAAAACCGCAUAAUAUUUAAGUAUUGCAUGAUACAUAAAAGAAAAGAGAAAUCUGCAACCAGACGGGCCCGCGGCGCAUUAGCUAGUUGGUAAGGUAAAGGCUUACCAAGGCGACGAUGCGUAGCCGACCUGAGAGGGUGAACGGCCACAUUGGAACUGAGAGACGGUCCAG
rnacentral:rRNA from 1 species